rnacentral:rRNA from 1 species
AGAGUUUGAUCAUGGCUCAGAGCGAACGCUGGCGGCAGGCUUAACACAUGCAAGUCGAGCGGGCGUAGCAAUACGUCAGCGGCAGACGGGUGAGUAACGCGUGGGAACGUACCUUUUGGUUCGGAACAACCCAGGGAAACUUGGGCUAAUACCGGAUAAGCCCUUACGGGGAAAGAUUUAUCGCCGAAAGAUCGGCCCGCGUCUGAUUAGCUAGUUGGUGAGGUAACGGCUCACCAAGGCGACGAUCAGUAGCUGGUCUGAGAGGAUGAUCAGCCACAUUGGGACUGAGACACGGCCCAAACUCCUACGGGAGGCAGCAGUGGGGAAUAUUGGACAAUGGGCGCAAGCCUGAUCCAGCCAUGCCGCGUGAGUGAUGAAGGCCCUAGGGUUGUAAAGCUCUUUUGUGCGGGAAGAUAAUGACGGUACCGCAAGAAUAAGCCCCGGCUAACUUCGUGCCAGCAGCCGCGGUAAUACGAAGGGGGCUAGCGUUGCUCGGAAUCACUGGGCGUAAAGGGUGCGUAGGCGGGUCUUUAAGUCAGGGGUGAAAUCCUGGAGCUCAACUCCAGAACUGCCUUUGAUACUGAAGAUCUUGAGUUCGGGAGAGGUGAGUGGAACUGCGAGUGUAGAGGUGAAAUUCGUAGAUAUUCGCAAGAACACCAGUGGCGAAGGCGGCUCACUGGCCCGAUACUGACGCUGAGGCACGAAAGCGUGGGGAGCAAACAGGAUUAGAUACCCUCGUAGUCC